UGGGGAAUAUUGCACAAUGGGCGCAAGCCUGAUGCAGCAACGCCGCGUGAGGGACGACGGCCUUCGGGUUGUAAACCUCUUUUAGUAGGGAAGAAGCGAAAGUGACGGUACCUGCAGAAAAAGCACCGGCUAACUACGUGCCAGCAGCCGCGGUAAUACGUAGGGUGCGAGCGUUGUCCGGAAUUAUUGGGCGUAAAGAGCUCGUAGGCGGUCUGUCGCGUCUGCUGUGAAAACCCGAGGCUCAACCUCGGGCCUGCAGUGGGCACGGGCAGACUAGAGUGCGGUAGGGGAGAAUGGAAUUCCUGGUGUAGCGGUGGAAUGCGCAGAUAUCAGGAGGAACACCGAUGGCGAAGGCAGUUCUCUGGGCCGUAACUGACGCUGAGGAGCGAAAGCGUGGGGAGCGAACAGGAUUAGAUACCCUGGUAGUCCACGCCGUAAACGUUGGGCGCUAGAUGUGGGGACCAUUCCACGGUUUCCGUGUCGCAGCUAACGCAUUAAGCGCCCCGCCUGGGGGAGUACGGCCGCAAGGCUAAAACUCAAAGGAAUUGACGGGGUCAUAGCUGUUUCCU
rnacentral:rRNA from 1 species